rnacentral:rRNA from 1 species
GGUUAAGCGACUAAGCGUACACGGUGGAUGCCCUGGCAGUCAGAGGCGAUGAAGGACGUGCUAAUCUGCGAUAAGCGUCGGUAAGGUGAUAUGAACCGUUAUAACCGGCGAUUUCCGAAUGGGGAAACCCAGUGUGUUUCGACACACUAUCAUUAACUGAAUCCAUAGGUUAAUGAGGCGAACCGGGGGAACUGAAACAUCUAAGUACCCCGAGGAAAAGAAAUCAACCGAGAUUCCCCCAGUAGCGGCGAGCGAACGGGGAGGAGCCCAGAGCCUGAAUCAGUGUGUGUGUUAGUGGAAGCGUCUGGAAAGGCGCGCGAUACAGGGUGACAGCCCCGUACACAAAAAUGCACAUAUUGUGAGCUCGAUGAGUAGGGCGGGACACGUGGUAUCCUGUCUGAAUAUGGGGGGACCAUCCUCCAAGGCUAAAUACUCCUGACUGACCGAUAGUGAACCAGUACCGUGAGGGAAAGGCGAAAAGAACCCCGGCGAGGGGAGUGAAAAAGAACCUGAAACCGUGUACGUACAAGCAGUGGGAGCACGCUUAGGCGUGUGACUGCGUACCUUUUGUAUAAUGGGUCAGCGACUUAUAUUCUGUAGCAAGGUUAACCGAAUAGGGGAGCCGAAGGGAAACCGAGUCUUAACUGGGCGUUAAGUUGCAGGGUAUAGACCCGAAACCCGGUGAUCUAGCCAUGGGCAGGUUGAAGGUUGGGUAACACUAACUGGAGGACCGAACCGACUAAUGUUGAAAAAUUAGCGGAUGACUUGUGGCUGGGGGUGAAAGGCCAAUCAAACCGGGAGAUAGCUGGUUCUCCCCGAAAGCUAUUUAGGUAGCGCCUCGUGAAUUCAUCUCCGGGGGUAGAGCACUGUUUCGGCAAGGGGGUCAUCCCGACUUACCAACCCGAUGCAAACUGCGAAUACCGGAGAAUGUUAUCACGGGAGACACACGGCGGGUGCUAACGUCCGUCGUGAAGAGGGAAACAACCCAGACCGCCAGCUAAGGUCCCAAAGUCAUGGUUAAGUGGGAAACGAUGUGGGAAGGCCCAGACAGCCAGGAUGUUGGCUUAGAAGCAGCCAUCAUUUAAAGAAAGCGUAAUAGCUCACUGGUCGAGUCGGCCUGCGCGGAAGAUGUAACGGGGCUAAACCAUGCACCGAAGCUGCGGCAGCGACGCUUAUGCGUUGUUGGGUAGGGGAGCGUUCUGUAAGCCUGCGAAGGUGUGCUGUGAGGCAUGCUGGAGGUAUCAGAAGUGCGAAUGCUGACAUAAGUAACGAUAAAGCGGGUGAAAAGCCCGCUCGCCGGAAGACCAAGGGUUCCUGUCCAACGUUAAUCGGGGCAGGGUGAGUCGACCCCUAAGGCGAGGCCGAAAGGCGUAGUCGAUGGGAAACAGGUUAAUAUUCCUGUACUUGGUGUUACUGCGAAGGGGGGACGGAGAAGGCUAUGUUGGCCGGGCGACGGUUGUCCCGGUUUAAGCGUGUAGGCUGGUUUUCCAGGCAAAUCCGGAAAAUCAAGGCUGAGGCGUGAUGACGAGGCACUACGGUGCUGAAGCAACAAAUGCCCUGCUUCCAGGAAAAGCCUCUAAGCAUCAGGUAACAUCAAAUCGUACCCCAAACCGACACAGGUGGUCAGGUAGAGAAUACCAAGGCGCUUGAGAGAACUCGGGUGAAGGAACUAGGCAAAAUGGUGCCGUAACUUCGGGAGAAGGCACGCUGAUAUGUAGGUGAAGUCCCUCGCGGAUGGAGCUGAAAUCAGUCGAAGAUACCAGCUGGCUGCAACUGUUUAUUAAAAACACAGCACUGUGCAAACACGAAAGUGGACGUAUACGGUGUGACGCCUGCCCGGUGCCGGAAGGUUAAUUGAUGGGGUUAGCGCAAGCGAAGCUCUUGAUCGAAGCCCCGGUAAACGGCGGCCGUAACUAUAACGGUCCUAAGGUAGCGAAAUUCCUUGUCGGGUAAGUUCCGACCUGCACGAAUGGCGUAAUGAUGGCCAGGCUGUCUCCACCCGAGACUCAGUGAAAUUGAACUCGCUGUGAAGAUGCAGUGUACCCGCGGCAAGACGGAAAGACCCCGUGAACCUUUACUAUAGCUUGACACUGAACAUUGAGCCUUGAUGUGUAGGAUAGGUGGGAGGCUUUGAAGUGUGGACGCCAGUCUGCAUGGAGCCGACCUUGAAAUACCACCCUUUAAUGUUUGAUGUUCUAACGUUGACCCGUAAUCCGGGUUGCGGACAGUGUCUGGUGGGUAGUUUGACUGGGGCGGUCUCCUCCUAAAGAGUAACGGAGGAGCACGAAGGUUGGCUAAUCCUGGUCGGACAUCAGGAGGUUAGUGCAAUGGCAUAAGCCAGCUUGACUGCGAGCGUGACGGCGCGAGCAGGUGCGAAAGCAGGUCAUAGUGAUCCGGUGGUUCUGAAUGGAAGGGCCAUCGCUCAACGGAUAAAAGGUACUCCGGGGAUAACAGGCUGAUACCGCCCAAGAGUUCAUAUCGACGGCGGUGUUUGGCACCUCGAUGUCGGCUCAUCACAUCCUGGGGCUGAAGUAGGUCCCAAGGGUAUGGCUGUUCGCCAUUUAAAGUGGUACGCGAGCUGGGUUUAGAACGUCGUGAGACAGUUCGGUCCCUAUCUGCCGUGGGCGCUGGAGAACUGAGGGGGGCUGCUCCUAGUACGAGAGGACCGGAGUGGACGCAUCACUGGUGUUCGGGUUGUCAUGCCAAUGGCACUGCCCGGUAGCUAAAUGCGGAAGAGAUAAGUGCUGAAAGCAUCUAAGCACGAAACUUGCCCCGAGAUGAGUUCUCCCUGACCCUUUAAGGGUCCUGAAGGAACGUUGAAGACGACGACGUUGAUAGGCCGGGUGUGUAAGCGCAGCGAUGCGUUGAGCUAACCGGUACUAAUGAACCGUGAGGCUUAACCUU